rnacentral:rRNA from 1 species
UGGGGAAUUUUGGACAAUGGGCGCAAGCCUGAUCCAGCCAUUCCGCGUGCAGGACGAAGGCCUUCGGGUUGUAAACUGCUUUUGUACGGAACGAAAAGCCCUUCUCUAAUACAGAGGGGUCAUGACGGUACCGUAAGAAUAAGCACCGGCUAACUACGUGCCAGCAGCCGCGGUAAUACGUAGGGUGCAAGCGUUAAUCGGAAUUACUGGGCGUAAAGCGUGCGCAGGCGGUUUUGUAAGUCUGAUGUGAAAUCCCCGGGCUCAACCUGGGAAUUGCAUUGGAGACUGCAAGGCUAGAAUCUGGCAGAGGGGGGUAGAAUUCCACGUGUAGCAGUGAAAUGCGUAGAUAUGCGGAGGAACACCGAUGGCGAAGGCAAUCCCCUGGGCCUGCACUGACGCUCAUGCACGAAAGCGUGGGGAGCAAACA